AUAGAAUGAAGAGGAUUAUCUCCUAAAGCACACAAAUAAUAAGGACUGAGACAUGGCGUACUUUUAAAACUACGGAUAAAUCCCCUCAUUAAUAAAAUAGGUUUCAUGCUAUCUUGGAACCAUACCUUAUUUUUCUACCAUAGUACCUAUUCUAUUUUAAUACACUUUGUCAUGUUAAUAUGUUAGUGUUUCUAUGAGUUAAAUGAAUGGAAAAUAUAAAUAACAUAUUGAAAAAUUAUGGUGUAGUGAAGUCUAAAGUGAGUUAUCUAGAAUGAUGAACUUCAGAGCCAGAACAUGAGCCAUCUCUCUUAAACUGACCUUUGAGCUCAUUGCUUUAAACAUAUGCAAUGGAGUUGAAAUGUUUUUCUGGUAAUGUUACAGAUUUGCCUAUUCAUCUUAGUACUCACCAGGGUCUUUCUGUGAUGAAUAGCAAGCAUUCCUAGUUAAGAGGUGUAAUCUUUGAUCUUAAAAUGGGACAAAGAUAACUGGUUCACUAAUUAGCUUAUUGAACGAAUGGUUUUUGCCCACUUUAGCAAGGGUUGAUCCAACUAGAGCAGUUGACUGGAGCCCCCAAAACAUACUAGAUAAUGUCAAACCUAAAGUGUUUUUCAUUGUUUUUGCCAGUAUAAAUAUGUGCUCUGGGUUUAGCAUUUAUACCACUUCAUUCAUUUGUAGAUUUAUGAAAAAUUUCAAAAUAGUUUCUCUAAAACAUAGCUAUAUAGAGUAAGACCCAUGUUUAAAACACACCAGGAUUGAAAGGCCAGUGUUAUUCUAUUACUACAAGGGAACUCACUCUUUAUUUGGUUGUGAUAAAAAUACAACCUCAUAUUCUACUACAUUUUUCUUAAGAGUUCUAAGAGUUCAUCUUUUCCCAUGACACAGCUGCUCAUAAAUCUUGAAUUUAAUCAGUAAGUCCAGUGCCAAAAGUUCUGUUAAUUAUAGAGUCAUGGGAUUUUUUAAAAAAUUAUAGAAUUUAAGAAAUUUGAUUGUGGUUGAUUUUGAGGUUUAAAUAUUUCAGGAUAGGUGAAAAUCUUUCAGUGCUUUAUUUGAAUGUGUCUCUUCUGGUUUUUCACAAACAUUAGAUUAUAAAGAAAUUGCAUUUGUUCAUUCUGCAAUCUUACAUAGUGCCUAUUACGUGGCAGGAGUAUUUUCUAGCUUCUAUGUAUUUAGCAAAAAAAAAAAAA
rnacentral:lncRNA from 1 species